AAUGAUUCUGAUUUUUAGAAAAUAAAAUAAGAUUAGUAUUUUGGGUAAUUUCAGGAGUUUGAUAAUAGAGCUAUAAGUGAAAUUUUUUGGAUUUGUGGAUGUAGUUGUGCUUGAUGUGUACUAUGAAUUUGGAUUUGAUUAAACGAUUAGAUUGAAAAGUAUGAAGGUUUUUGUAGAUUAUGGUCUUAGAAUUUAGGAUUUUGAGGACCAAUGAGGUUUUCUUAGAUAUCUGUCAAUCUACCAAUUAGAUUGAGACAAAUUUUUUUCCU
rnacentral:lncRNA from 1 species